rnacentral:rRNA from 1 species
GUCCAUGCCGUAAACGAUGUCUACUAGCCGUUGGGGCCUUUGAGGCUUUAGUGGCGCAGCUAACGCGAUAAGUAGACCGCCUGGGGAGUACGGUCGCAAGACUAAAACUCAAAUGAAUUGACGGGGGCCCCGCACAAGCGGUGGAGCAUGUGGUUUAAUUCGAUGCAACGCGAAGAACCUUACCUGGCCUUGACAUACUAGAAACUUUCCAGAGAUGGAUUGGUGCCUUCGGGAAUCUAGAUACAGGUGCUGCAUGGCUGUCGU